rnacentral:rRNA from 1 species
UACGGGGGGGGCAAGCGUUGUUCGGAAUUACUGGGCGUAAAGGGCCAGUAGGCGGCCAACUAAGUCGGAUGUGAAAUCCCCAGGCUCAACCUGGGAACUGCAUCCGAUACUGGAUGGCUUGAAUUCGGGGAGAGGGAUGCAGAAUUCCAGGUGUAGCGGUGAAAUGCGUAGAUAUCUGGAGGAAUACCGGUGGCGAAGGCGGCAUCCUGGACCGACAUUGACGCUGAGGAGCGAAAGC